rnacentral:rRNA from 1 species
GACGAACGCUGGCGGCGUGCUUAACACAUGCAAGUCGAACGGAAAGGCCCUGCUUUUGUGGGGUGCUCGAGUGGCGAACGGGUGAGUAACACGUGUGUAUCCUGCCCCUGACUUUGGGAUAACUUCAGGAAACUCGGGCUCAUACCGCAUAGGAGCUCCUGCUGCAUGGUGGGGGUUGGUAAGUUUCGGCGGUUGGGGAUGGUCUCGCGGCUUAUCAGCUUGUUGGUCGGGUAGUGGCUUACCAAGGCUUUGAGGGAUAGCCGGCCUGGGAGGUGGACCGGGCACAAGAGGACUGAGAGAGGGACCAGUCGCCAACGGGAGGCAACGGGGGAGAGUAUGACACAGUGAGGGGGAGCGUGAGACAGAGACGCCGCGUGCGGGAUGACGGCCUACGGGUUGUGAACCGCUGUCGCCGGUGACGAAGCGUGAGUGACGGUAAUGGGUAAAGAAGCAACGGCUAACUACGUG